rnacentral:rRNA from 1 species
GUGAGUAACCUGCCCUUGACUCUGGGAUAAGCGCUGGAAACGGCGUCUAAUACCGGAUACGACCUGCCCCGGCAUCGGGUGCGGGUGGAAAGUUUUUCGGUCAAGGAUGGACUCGCGGCCUAUCAGGUAGUUGGUGAGGUAAUGGCUCACCAGGCCGACGACGGGUAGCCGGCCUGAGAGGGUGACCGGCCACACUGGGACUGAGACACGGCCCAGACUCCUACGGGAGGCAGCAGUGGGGAAUAUUGCACAAUGGGCGAAAGCCUGAUGCAGCAACGCCGCGUGGGGGAUGACGGCCUUCGGGUUGUAAACCUCUUUUAGUAGGGAAGAAGGGCUUCGGCUUGACGGUACCUGCAGAAAAAGCACCGGCUAACUACGUGCCAGCAGCCGCGGUAAUACGUAGGGUGCAAGCGUUGUCC